GGGCCGGUCGUCUAGCUCGGUUAGGAUGUCAGAGAUUCUCCAUCAAGCCCUUACACGGCGAAGGUCGGCGGUUCGAAUCCGCCCCGGCCCA
rnacentral:tRNA from 1 species